rnacentral:lncRNA from 1 species
CCGGCCAGGGCUCUCGGCCGGGCUCUGGCUACCCACGUGUGGAGACCGGGCAGAAAAGGGAGCGAUGUUGAUCUCAGGAAGCACAAAGGGACCUUCCUAGCUCUGACUGAACCACGGACUCACCCUGGACAGUAUCACUCCGUGGAGGAAGACUGUGAGACUGUGGCUGGAAGCCAGAUUGUAGCCACACAUCCGCCCCUGCCCUACCCCAGAGCCCUGGAGCAGCAACUGGCUGCAGAUCACAGACACAGUGAGGAUAUGAGUGUAGGGGUGAGCACCUCAGCCCCUCUUUCCCCAACCUCGGGCACAAGCGUGGGCAUGUCUACCUUCUCCAUCAU